AUUGAACGCUGGCGGCAUGCCUUACACAUGCAAGUCGAACGGCAGCACGGGUGCUUGCACCUGGUGGCGAGUGGCGAACGGGUGAGUAAUAUAUCGGAACGUGCCUCAUAGUGGGGGAUAACGCAGCGAAAGCUGUGCUAAUACCGCAUACGCCCUGAGGGGGAAAGCGGGGGACCGUAAGGCCUCGCGCUAUGAGAGCGGCCGAUACCUGAUUAGCUUGUUGGUGGGGUAAAAGCCCACCAAGGCGACGAUCAGUAGCUGGUCUGAGAGGACGAUCAGCCACACUGGGACUGAGACACGGCCCAGACUCCUACGGGAGGCAGCAGUGGGGAAUUUUGGACAAUGGGGGCAACCCUGAUCCAGCAAUGCCGCGUGAGUGAAGAAGGCCUUCGGGUUGUAAAGCUCUUUUGUCAGGGAAGAAACAGCAGCUCUAACACAGUCUGCGAAUGACGGUACCUGAAGAAUAAGCACCGGCUAACUACGUGCCAGCAGCCGCGGUAAUACGUAGGGUGCGAGCGUUAAUCGGAAUUACUGGGCGUAAAGCGUGCGCAGGCGGUUAUACAAGACAGGCGUGAAAUCCCCGGGCUUAACCUGGGAAUGGCGCCUGUGACUGUAUAGCUAGAGUGUGUCAGAGGGGGGUAGAAUUCCACGUGUAGCAGUGAAAUGCGUAGAUAUGUGGAGGAAUACCAAUGGCGAAGGCAGCCCC
rnacentral:rRNA from 1 species